rnacentral:rRNA from 1 species
CCAAUAGCGUAUAUUAAAGUUGUUGCAGUUAAAAAGCUCGUAGUUGAACUUCAGACCUGGUUGGGCGGUCUGCCUAACGGUAUGUACUGUCUGACUGGGUCUUACCUCUUGGUGAGCCAGCAUGCCCUUCACUGGGUGUGUUGGGGAACCAGGACUUUUACCUUGAGAAAAUUAGAGUGUUCAAAGCAGGCUAACGCUUGAAUACAUUAGCAUGGAAUAAUGAAAUAGGACGUUCGAUCCUAUUUUGUUGGUUUCUAGGAUUGACGUAAUGAUUAAUAGGGAUAGUUUGGGGCAUUAGUAUUCAAUUGUCAGAGGUGAAAUUCUUGGAUUUAUUGAAGACUAACUACUGCGAAAGCAUUUGCCAAGGAUGUUUUCAUUAAUCAAGAACGAAAGUUAGGGGAUCGAAGACGAUCAGAUACCGUCGUAGUCUUAACCAUAAACUAUGCCGACUAGGGAUCGGAUGAUGUUAAUUUUUUAAUGACUCAUUCGGCGCCUUACG